AGAUUGAACGCUGGCGGCAGGCCUAACACAUGCAAGUCGAGCGGUAGAGAGGUGCUUGCAUCUCUUGAGAGCGGCGGACGGGUGAGUAAUGCCUAGGAAUCUGCCUAGUGGUGGGGGAUAACGUUCGGAAACGGACGCUAAUACCGCAUACGUCCUA
rnacentral:rRNA from 1 species